GCACUAGUAGCUCAGAGAAAGAGCGCCGGUCUUGUAAACCGGACGCCGAAGGUUAAACUCCUUCCUACUGCU
rnacentral:tRNA from 1 species